GCAUUAUUGAUGUGCACUACCAUGUCCAGCUAAGAUUUCCUUUUUUGUUUUUUUUUGUUUUUUUUUUUGAGACAGAAUCUUACUGUGUAGUUCAGGCUGACUCUGAAUUCACUGUGUAGCCCAGGCUGACCUCCAAUUUGCAGUGAUCCUCCUGCCUCAACCUCCCGAGUGUUGGGAUUACAGGUGCGACUUCUCUGCCACACACUCCCACUAUGAUGUGCUGCCUUGCCACAGAUCCAACAGUAGCAGAGCCAAGCAAACAUGUACUGAAACCUCUGAAACUCUUUACUCACUGGCCUCUCAGGAGCACAUUGCCUGGCCUCUCAGACCUUCCUUUGAAAUCUGGGGAAACCUCUAUAAACCCACAAC
ensembl:lncRNA